rnacentral:rRNA from 2 species
ACUCCCUCGGGAGGCAGCAGUGGGGAAUAUUGCACAAUGGGCGGAAGCCUGAUGCAGCGACGCCGCGUGAGGGAUGACGGCCUUCGGGUUGUAAACCUCUUUCAGCAGGGACGAAGCGCAAGUGACGGUACCUGCAGAAGAAGCGCCGGCCAACUACGUGCCAGCAGCCGCGGUAAGACGUAGGGCGCGAGCGUUGUCCGGAUUUAUUGGGCGUAAAGAGCUCGUAGGCGGCUUGUCGCGUCGACCGUGAAAACUUGGGGCUCAACCCCAAGCCUGCGGUCGAUACGGGCAGGCUAGAGUUCGGUAGGGGAGACUGGAAUUCCUGGUGUAGCGGUGAAAUGCGCAGAUAUCAGGAGGAACACCGGUGGCGAAGGCGGGUCUCUGGGCCGAUACUGACGCUGAGGAGCGAAAGCGUGGGGAGCGAACAGGAUUAGAUACCCUGGUAGUCCACGCUGUAAACGUUGGGCGUCUAGGUGUGGGGGGCCUCUCCGGUUCUCUGUGCCGCAGCUAACGCA